CCGGCGCACGGGUGAGUAACACGUAUGCAACCUGGCCGUCACAGGUGGAUAACCGGAAGAAAUUCCGACUAAUACAGCAUAACACUCCUGAGGGACAUCCUUCGGGAGUCAAAGGAGGCAACUCCGGUGACGGAUGGGCAUGCGGCGCAUUAGGUAGUUGGUAGGGUAACGGCCUACCAAGCCGACGAUGCGUAGGGGUUCUGAGAGGAAGGUCCCCCACAUUGGAACUGAGACACGGUCCAAGCUCCUACGGAAGGCAGCAG
rnacentral:rRNA from 1 species